AAUCAACGCUGGCGGCGUGCCUCAGACAUGCAAGUCGAACGCGAAAGUCCCCUUCGGGGGACAAGUAGAGUGGCGCACGGGUGAGUAACACGUAGGUAAUCUACCUUCGGAUGGGGAAUAACAACCGGAAACGGUUGCUAAUACCGCAUAAUGCAGCGGCACCUAAUGGUGACAGUUGUUAAAGCGGGGGAUCGAAAGACCUCGCGUCUGAAGAGGAGCCUGCGGCGGAUUAGCUAGNGGUAAGGUAAUGGCUUACCAAGGCGACGAUCCGUAGCCGGCCUGAGAGGGCGGUCGGCCACACUGACACUGAAUAACGGGUCAGACUCCUACGGGAGGCAGCAGUC
rnacentral:rRNA from 1 species